rnacentral:lncRNA from 1 species
CUAAGUUGAAGUCACUGUGCUGGGCAAAUGCAGGAUUCUUCUCACUAAGGUCCUAUGUCCAUUCUGCCCACGGAGGUUGGCUUUCACAUAUGAAAAGCAAUCAAUUUUGUCAUUCCUCUGCCCAAGGACUUACCAUGGCCAACUUGGCAUUCCUGGACCUGACUCUGACCCUCUUUUUUUUCAUCUUGCCUAACUUGUUUUCUGACUCAUUCCAUUUAGGUCCCUCUGCUUUCCUAGAUGUUCCUUGAAGUGUGAGCUACACAUUUCCUCCUCAGGCUUUUUACCUAUGUUUCCCUCUGAUUAGAAUGUUCUUCUUGGAGAUGUCCACAUUACUCACUUCCUCUUGUCCCUCCUGUCUUUAUUCAAAUGACACUUUGGAAGAGAGGGUUUUUUGGCCAUGCUAUCUGGAAUAGCACACUGCACACAGGCCCUGCCUCUUCCAUCUCACCCUGCCAUCUUCUUUCUCAUAGUGCUUACUACCUACCACCUGUCACAUUCUAUUUAGUUGAAUCAUAUAAAAUUUCCUGUUGUUGGAUCAGGAAUAUCUGAUUGGUCAUUUUGUGUGGUCCAACCUAAAUACAUAUUUAUUAACUUCUCUAUUAUUUUUAUUCCUUUCCUUCUGCUACCAUUUAAACUCUAAGAGUUCAGCUAUUUAUUAUUAUUAUUAUUACUAUUUAAAUCUGCAGUAUGUAGAAUAUAGUAGGCACUUAGAAAAGUGUUUUAAAAAAUGGAAAUGAAGAAGAAAAUUGUUGGAAUUUGUCGGUAAUAAGCAGAGAAAGUUUAUAUGGGAAUUCAUCUUUGUGUGUGUGUGAUUUGAAAGGUAUUCUAAAAAUGUUGAUUGGAAAGGCUUCUGAGUGAGUCCAGAAAAACUGAAGGAUAAAUUUGGAUCCAUGUUAAAGUAUAAAGUUUCUAAUUUAAACUGUGGGCUAUCUGUAGACUUCAAUUAUAUAUUUGUUUUCACCUUGUUUUAUAAAACAGAUAAGAGAGAUAAUACAGAUUUUGGAUAAUAUAAUUCUGAAAUUUUAAAGUUUUGCAAUUGGUAAGUUAUAGAAUUAGCUUUUCAAAUGUGACAUAAGUUGAUUUUGACUAGGAAAAAGAAAUUACUUUUUUACUUGUAGUUCUGGAAAUUUGGUUACUAA